rnacentral:rRNA from 1 species
GUCCAGACUCCUACGGGAGGCAGCAGUGGGGAAUAUUGCACAAUGGGGGAAACCCUGAUGCAGCGACGCCGCGUGAGUGAAGAAGUAAUUCGUUAUGUAAAGCUCUAUCAGCAGGGAAGAAAAUGACGGUACCUGAGUAAGAAGCCCCGGCUAACUACGUGCCAGCAGCCGCGGUAAUACGUAGGGGGCAAGCGUUAUCCGGAUUCACUGGGUGUAAAGGGAGCGUAGACGGCGACGCAAGUCUGGAGUGAAAGCCCGGGGCCCAACCCCGGGACUGCUCUGGAAACUGCGGCGCUGGAAUACGGGAGGGGCAGGCGGAAUUCCUGGUGUAGCGGUGAAAUGCGUAGAUAUCAGGAGGAACACCGGCGGCGAAGGCGGCCUGCUGGACCGUGACUGACGUUGAGGCUCGAGAGCGUGGGGAGCAAACAGGAUUAGAUACCCUCGUAUU